rnacentral:rRNA from 1 species
AUGAACGCUGGCGGCGUGCCUAAUACCUGCCAGUCGAGCGAACGGACGAGAAGCUUGCUUCUCUGAUGUUAGCGGCGGACGGGUGAGUAACACGUGGAUAACCUACCUAUAAGACUGGGAUAACUUCGGGAAACCGGAGCUAAUACCGGAUAAUAUUUUGAACCGCAUGGUUCAAAAGUGAAAGACGGUCUUGCUGUCACUUAUAGAUGGAUCCGCGCUGCAUUAGCUAGUUGGUAAGGUAACGGCUUACCAAGGCAACGAUGCAUAGCCGACCUGAGAGGGUGAUCGGCCACACUGGAACUGAGACACGGUCCAGACUCCUACGGGAGGCAGCAGUAGGGAAUCUUCCACAAUGGGCGAAAGCCUGACGGAGCAACGCCGCGUGAGUGAUGAAGGUCUUCGGAUCGUAAAACUCUGUUAUUAGGGAAGAACAUAUGUGUAAGUAACUGUGCACAUCUUGACGGUACCUAAUCAGAAAGCCACGGCUAACUACGUG